GGCUCCCCAAAGGUAACGGACGGAAGUUACCUUGCAUCAAUUUCGUCUCGUAAAUGCAGCGAUAGACGACUUGCCUCGCUCGCUCGCUAGCAAACUCUUGCACUGUGAAGGAAACGAGCGCGUCGACAACGACGAGUGCACCAUACUUAAUGUCACCGUCUCAAGAUCAUCUCUCAAGAUCAUCGUUUUUCCUAAUUCCAGGACAUACAGGAGCGAUUCGUGGUCCCCACUGUAACGGAUGCUCGUCAUAAACAUCAGCGCUGCUGCGAGGAGGAAACACACAGCCAGCCUCCGGGUGAGGGACGUCCACUCGCCAACAGUGGAAAGGCCGGUUGCUGUCAAGUUAUUUUGAGUACGUCUCCAAGGUUCAUACGCGCAGGGAUUGUAAGCCUCAAUCGCGAGCGGAGCGAGAUGGAAAGAGCAGCUCCGAAAGAGAGUGAGAGAAAGAGAGGGAGAUGUGUAAAGAGCUGUCCGGUGAACCCCGUUUGUGGGAUUCAACAGCGCAGACAGCGACGGAGGGGUGAGCCGGGGAUGAGGAAAAACAAACAUUUAAAUUUAGCGGAAGGAAGGAGAUGUCGCUGAGAAGCGAAAGAAACGAGCGAGCAAAGCGCGCAACUAAGCAGUGAAUGCGGCUGUGAAAGGGAAGGAUACCAUUUACAGAAAGGAAGAAGAUUUCUCGCGUACGAGUUGGAGGGCGAUUCAAAUCAUUGGCACCAUUCGGACAAACCAUGAUUGUCGAUGGACACUUGUCCCGACGAGCGACGAACUUCCUCAUUGGUUUUCGCAGCUACGUACGCGUCCCGAAUCUGCCUAAGAAGCUACCAAUCCAGCCAUGGUUUAUGCGUGAGUGUCUUGUAGGUAGCUCAUACUUACGCUUCCUCGCUUCAUUCAUCGUCAUUCAUAACAGGCUCAUGAUACACACACAGCUCUUUCCUUUGACUGCUCGUGAGCAUGCAUGAUCAUUCGAGCGUGUGUGUCUGUGUGUGCGUAGUUUGCGUGAUUGAAUUGCAAAGUCAUGAGCCUUUCUCUUCU